GCUAAUAAUACUCUGGUGUCUUAGCUAAAUAUUUUGCUAUAAGCUUUGCUUUAUGGCCCCAAACUUACAUAAAAAAGUUUUAAAUUUGUAGAUUACUACUGCAGAUUCUAAUGUUGGUUUUAUUCUCCAACUUAAGCUCAGUACAGCAGCACAGUACUGCUUUACUCCAGUGUAUUGCUUGGAAAUAAUCCAUAUUCAGUUUCUGUACCAGUUCUCAUAUUAUUACAGUGAAAGUGUCAGCUGUUCAAAUGUUUGAAGUCUCUGAAUGGGAAAAGGGAGAGUUUUAGCAUUUGGAAAGUGUGGAUGUUCUUUUGUUUUCUGGAAAUUACUGCUUCUGGGCUGUAGAGAGAAUUAAUUUUAGGGUCUGAUUUUGGUUAUGUUGGGUAGAUGCCAGUGUAGCUGGGAAGAUCAUGAGCAUGAGAGAUGAUCUAGAUCAGUGCUUUGCCUAAAACACAGCAUUUGUUAUACCCUCGUCAUUCAGAACUCUUUCAACAGCAUUUCUAGGCACCUUAAAGGCUUGCUGCUGCAGAAUAUUUUCACAAGCUAAACUACUUGAGCUAUGUGUGUAAAGAGAAGGGGUAAACUUUUAUCUGCCUUUUGGUACCUUCAAUAUAUUUGAUGACUGAUACUGGCCCCUUGAGUUUAAUCCUGUUGAGAGAAAUUCAGUUAUUCACCCUUUCCUUGAACAUUCUGUUUUCUAGAUUUGACUUGUUGCUGCUCCUCACAUCCAAAUUGCCUGUAUCUUUCUGGAAGUGUAGAAGUCUGGAAGGAUGCAGGCCACAGUUUAAAUGGGACAGUGAAAAACAAUUCUUAACACAGUAUUCCUAUUUAUCUUGAGUAUGUUGUUGACAGGCACUCAGUCUGUGAUCCAUUAUAUCCUUUGGGCACUUCUUGCAGUACUGCAAAGCAAGAGUAGUUGUUUGUUCUCUAUUCACGUAGUUUAAUAAAUGCAGAAAUUUUAAAGACAUCGCUUCUUGUCUUUUGAAAUACAUCUGCUUUUUCCAGACUCUUAACUUGAAUUCUCAUUCUGUUCCUCAGUAUGCUUCAAGGCCUCCUCAGCUUGCUGUCACCCAUGUUUUCUAAUAUUUUCAUCAAUGACUAGAUGGAAGUGUGUGCUUUCAAUAUGCUAGACGUAGGUCAAGCUCCUUUGAGUCUCCCAUUUAAUACAUGUCUCCAGUUUGCCAGUUGAAUCAUUGACAGUCUGAGAGGUGCUUGCUUAGGAGUGCAUAGCCACUCAAUUUCAUCUAAUUUUUUUUUCAUUAUUUCCAAACUGAGAGGGGAGACCAAAGUCUUGCUAAAAUCAAAAUGAAGGGUUUGUAAAUGAAGUUAUGUCAAUAGAAAUUAGCUUAACUUGUUUUUGAGGAAUUUUUUCAGCACUUGUCACCGGAUUGUGUAGGAGCUACCCAAAAUCCUGUGCUAAUAUUUUCUUGGGAUCCUUCUGCUUUUCUUAAAGAGGCUUUUUUGUUUUUUUCAGGUCUUAAAGAAAAACUUCUAUAUCUCAUUGCAGUAUAAAAAACGUUUGUAAGAUUCAUCCCGAGACUAUAAGAAUUAGUUGAAGAAACCUAAUAGGACCCAGAUGACUAAAAAAAGAAAAUGAAAUCUUAGUACUUGUGCAUGAUGUCAUCUAAAAUUUGUUUAAUGCUUUCAUAUUUUCCUAAUCAAAGAAACCAGCUGAAGAUGUGUGAAUGUGUAGCUUAAGCUGGCUGUGGCCUCAUUGGUACUGGCAGAGGAUUGAGGGUACUGGCAGAGGAUUGGGGUGUGGAGAAAGCUACUUCUACAUACAGUGAAAAAUGAAAUUGCACAGUUUUUGCUUAAGUGAGAUUCAGGUCACAAUUUCAAGGCCAUUUUAUAACAAGCAUGGUGUGGAGCAAGUCAUGCACUUGAGACAAGGCAAUGGAGUGUUCUCUGUGGAAGGAAUCUGGUAUAUGCCAGUAAUACAUGAGUGAAGAUAAGGAAGAGGAAGCCUAUGAGCUGCUAUUGACUUUUCACUGAAAACUACACAUGCAGAGAUGAAUUAUACGUUUAGAGAAGCCUAAGCUCUGGGUGUAGGUCAGAAUGUAAAUCAAGAGUGAACAGCAGCUGCAGAACUCAUAAAUACAGGAAGUUGUGUUCUUCUGGAGUAUUUGUUGGAACGUCUUCCACUGCAGAGACCAGUGGAAGACAUCUCUUUAGUGUAAGAGAGAAAGCAUGUGUCCAAGUUGUUGGUUUGCAACAGCUGAACUGGUGCUGGUGGGCACCUGGUUUGCUGUUGGAGCUGCGUGGCAAAUGUCAGGCUGUUGCUUCUGGUGGAGAAUUGGGACUGAAAUGUAAAGGGAUAUAUUUUAUUCAGUGGAAAUGAUAAGCUAUAAUAUCAAUUUGUCUUCACCUUUACAGCUAACACAGGUACCCUAGCAUGUGUGCCAAAUCCAGGAAAUGUGUGUUGGCAUGAUCUUAGUAAUCCACCAGUGCCUCUUGAAAACCAAGAGUUAUCUUCUCCCUUAUCCCAGCUAUCCAGAUGCUGAGUGUACACCUGGCUUUUGAAGAAAAUAGGCAAAUUGAACAUUCUUGAUCUCUACAGUUGAAGCGCUACAUAGUCAUGGGUUUGUCUUUUGAAUCAAUGUGUGUAUAAAUAUUAAAUGAAUGGAUCUGAUGAAGUUGCUCACAUUUCUGUUUUGUAAGAUGGAAUAAAUCAAAACAAUUCACAGCUUUGAACAGUAGUAAACAAUUUCUGCAUGCA